rnacentral:tRNA from 2 species
GAUAUUGAAUUUUCUUUGUUUUCUUUGAACCACUUAUAAAAAAAAAGGAGAAUUUAUAGUAAAUGAAGUAAAAC